rnacentral:rRNA from 1 species
CAUGGGCAGGUUGAAGGUUGGGUAACACUAACUGGAGGACCGAACCGACUAAUGUUGAAAAAUUAGCGGAUGACCUGUGGCUGGGGGUGAAAGGCCAAUCAAACCGGGAGAUAGCUGGUUCUCCCCGAAAGCUAUUUAGGUAGCGCCUCGUGAAUUCAUCUCCGGGGGUAGAGCACUGUUUCGGCUAGGGGGCCAUCCCGGCUUACCAACCCGAUGCAAACUGCGAAUACCGGAGAAUGUUAUCACGGGAGACACACGGCGGGUGCUAACGUCCGUCGUGAAGAGGGAAACAACCCAGACCGCCAGCUAAGGUCCCAAAGUCAUGGUUAAGUGGGAAACGAUGUGGGAAGGCCCAGACAGCCAGGAUGUUGGCUUAGAAGCAGCCAUCAUUUAAAGAAAGCGUAAUAGCUCACUGGUCGAGUCGGCCUGCGCGGAAGAUGUAACGGGGCUAAACCAUGCACCGAAGCUGCGGCAGCGACGCUGAUGCGUUGUUGGGUAGGGGAGCGUUCUGUAAGCCUGUGAAGGUGGCCUGUGAGGGUUGCUGGAGGUAUCAGAAGUGCGAAUGCUGACAUAAGUAACGAUAAAGCGGGUGAAAAGCCCGCUCGCCGGAAGACCAAGGGUUCCUGUCCAACGUUAAUCGGGGCAGGGUGAGUCGACCCCUAAGGCGAGGCCGAAAGGCGUAGUCGAUGGGAAACGGGUUAAUAUUCCCGUACUUGGUGUUACUGCGAAGGGGGGACGGAGAAGGCUAUGUUGGCCGGGCGACGGUUGUCCCGGUUUAAGCGUGUAGGUGUGUGUUCCAGGUAAAUCCGGUUCACUUUAACACUGAGGCGUGAUGACGAGGCACUACGGUGCUGAAGCAACAAAUGCCCUGCUUCCAGGAAAAGCCUCUAAGCAUCAGGUAACAUCAAAUCGUACCCCAAACCGACACAGGUGGUCAGGUAGAGAAUACCAAGGCGCUUGAGAGAACUCGGGUGAAGGAACUAGGCAAAAUGGUGCCGUAACUUCGGGAGAAGGCACGCUGACACGUAGGUGAAGUGAUUUACUCAUGGAGCUGAAGUCAGUCGAAGAUACCAGCUGGCUGCAACUGUUUAUUAAAAACACAGCACUGUGCAAACACGAAAGUGGACGUAUACGGUGUGACGCCUGCCCGGUGCCGGAAGGUUAAUUGAUGGGGUCAGCGCAAGCGAAGCUCCUGAUCGAAGCCCCGGUAAACGGCGGCCGUAACUAUAACGGUCCUAAGGUAGCGAAAUUCCUUGUCGGGUAAGUUCCGACCUGCACGAAUGGCGUAAUGAUGGCCAGGCUGUCUCCACCCGAGACUCAGUGAAAUUGAACUCGCUGUGAAGAUGCAGUGUACCCGCGGCAAGACGGAAAGACCCCGUGAACCUUUACUAUAGCUUGACACUGAACAUUGAGCCUUGAUGUGUAG